AGAAUCAACGCUGGCGGCGUGCCUAACACAUGUAAGUCGAACGAGAAAGUGGAGCAAUCCAUGAGUAAAGUGGCGACCGGGUGAGUAACACGUGACUAACCUACCUUCGAGUGGGGGAUAACCUCGGGAAACCGAGGCUAAUACCGCAUAACAUCGUGAGAUCAAAGCAGUAAUGCGCUGGAAGAGGGGGUCGCGGCUGAUUAGCUAGUUGGCGGGGUAAUGGCCCACCAAGGCGAAGAUCGGUA
rnacentral:rRNA from 1 species